UUUCAGUCGCCAGCUUCCGGUGCAACAGGAAAAUGGUCUGUCUUCACUUGGCCCCCUAAAGGUCACCAUGGAACUUGUCUUAGGAAACAAGGAUUUCACUGGCAUCAGUGCUAAGUUAAGACGCAGCACCCAGCCUGCUCCACCUUCAGCUGCUGCAAGUCUAGAUGCGGUACUGCCUGAGACAGGCCAGGGCACUGCCUGUACCAACAGUACCACCUGCACCACCUGUACCAACAGUCCACAGAGCCCAAAUAAAAUUCACAAGGAAA
rnacentral:lncRNA from 1 species